UACGUAGGGUGCGAGCGUUAAUCGGAAUUACUGGGCGUAAAGCGUGCGCAGGCGGUGAUGUAAGACAGGUGUGAAAUCCCCGGGCUUAACCUGGGAACUGCAUUUGUGACUGCAUCGCUGGAGUGCGGCAGAGGGGGAUGGAAUUCCGCGUGUAGCAGUGAAAUGCGUAGAUAUGCGGAGGAACACCGGUGGCGAAGGCGGCGUUCUGGACUGCAACUGACACUGAGGAACGAAAGCCAGGGGAGCAAACGGG
rnacentral:rRNA from 1 species